GGGUGGGUCCGGCGCGGCGGAAGCCUGCGAACCCCGUCAGGUCCGAGAGGAAGCAGCGGUAAGAAGGAAAUUCCGGGUGCCGCCGGGGAGCCUGCUCGGG
rfam:Chloroflexi bacterium RBG_16_54_18 RBG_16_scaffold_522, whole genome shotgun sequence.